AGUGAACGCUGGCGGUAGGCCUAACACAUGCAAGUCGAACGGCAGCACAGUAAGAGCUUGCUCUUACGGGUGGCGAGUGGCGGACGGGUGAGGAAUACAUCGGACUCUACUUUUUCGUGGGGGAUCACGUAGGGAAACUUACGCUAAUACCGCAUCCGACCUACGGGUGAAAGCAUGGGAUCUUCGGACCUUGCGCGAUUGAAUGAGCCGAGGUCGGAUUAGCUAGUUGGCGGGGUAAAGGCCCACCAAGGCGACGAUCCGUAGCUGGUCUGAGAGGAUGAUCAGCCACACUGGAACUGAGACACGGUCCAGACUCCUAAGGGAGGCAGCAGUGGGGAAUAUUAGACAAUGGGCGCAAGCCUGAUCCAGCCAGACCGCGUGGGUGAAGAAGGCCUUCGGGUUGUAAAGCCCUUUUGUUGGGAAAGAAAAGCAGCAGGUUAAUACCCCGCUGUUCUGACGGUACCCAAAGAAUAAGCACCGGCUAACUUCGUG
rnacentral:rRNA from 1 species